UGGCGGACGGGUGAGUAAUGUCUGGGAAACUGCCUGAUGGAGGGGGAUAACUACUGGAAACGGUAGCUAAUACCGCAUAACGUCGCAAGGCCAAAGAGGGGACCUUCGGGCCUCUUGCCAUCGGAUGUGCCCAGAUGGGAUUAGCUAGUAGGUGGGGUAACGGCUCACCUAGGCGACGAUCCCUAGCUGGUCUGAGAGGAUGACCAGCCACACUGGAACUGAGACACGGUCCAG
rnacentral:rRNA from 1 species